rnacentral:rRNA from 1 species
CUGGCUCAGAUUGAACGCUGGCGGCAGGCCUAACACAUGCAAGUCGAGCGGUAGAGAGAAGCUUGCUUCUCUUGAGAGCGGCGGACGGGUGAGUAAUGCCUAGGAAUCUGCCUGGUAGUGGGGGAUAACGUUCGGAAACGGACGCUAAUACCGCAUACGUCCUACGGGAGAAAGCAGGGGACCUUCGGGCCUUGCGCUAUCAGAUGAGCCUAGGUCGGAUUAGCUAGUUGGUGAGGUAAUGGCUCACCAAGGCGACGAUCCGUAACUGGUCUGAGAGGACGAUCAGUCACACUGGAACUGAGACACGGUCCAGACUCCUACGGGAGGCAGCAGUGGGGAAUAUUGGACAAUGGGCGAAAGCCUGAUCCAGCCAUGCCGCGUGUGUGAAGAAGGUCUUCGGAUUGUAAAGCACUUUAAGUUGGGAGGAAGGGUUGUAGAUUAAUACUCUGCAAUUUUGACGUUACCGACAGAAUAAGCACCGGCUAACUCUGUGCCAGCAGCCGCGGUAAUACAGAGGGUGCAAGCGUUAAUCGGAAUUACUGGGCGUAAAGCGCGCGUAGGUGGUUUGUUAAGUUGGAUG